GACGAACGCUGGCGGCGUGCCUAAUACAUGCAAGUCGAGCGAUGACGCUUGGUGCUUGCACCCAUUUGAAGAGCAGCGAACGGGUGAGUAACGCGUGGGGAAUCUGCCUUUGAGCGGGGGACAACAUUUGGAAACGAAUGCUAAUACCGCAUAACACCUUUAAACAUAAGUUUUAAGUUUGAAAGAUGCAAUUGCCUCACUCAAAGAUGAUCCCGCGUUGUAUUAGCUAGUUGGUGAGGUAAAGGCUCACCAAGGCGAUGAUACAUAGCCGACCUGAGAGGGAGAACGGCCACAAUGGGACUGGGGCAAGGCCCAAAAUCCUACGGGAGGCAGCAGGAGGGGAUCUUCGGCAAUGGAGGGAAGGCUUGACGAGCAAAGCCGGGGGGGUGGAGGAAGGUUUCGGGUCGGAAAACUCUGUUUGUAGAGAAGGAAGUUGGUGAGAGUGGAAAGCUCAUGAAGUGACGGUAACUACACAGAAAGGGACGGCUAACUACGUG
rnacentral:rRNA from 1 species